rnacentral:rRNA from 1 species
GACCUCAGAUCAGGCAGGAUUACCCGCUGAACUUAAGCAUAUCAAUAAGCGGAGGAAAAGAAACUAACAAGGAUUCCCCUAGUAACGGCGAGUGAAGCGGGAAGAGCUCAAAUUUGUAAUCUGGCACUUUCAGUGUCCGAGUUGUAAUCUCGAGAAGUAUUUUCCGCGCCGGACCGCAUACAAGUCUGUUGGAAUACAGCGUCAUAGUGGUGAGAGCCCCGUAACUGAUGCGGAUGCCCGGUGCUUUGUGAUAUACUUUCGAAGAGUCGAGUUGUUUGGGAAUGCAGCUCAAAUUGGGUGGUAAAUUCCAUCUAAAGCUAAAUAUUGGAGCAAGACCGAUAGCGAACAAGUACCGUGAGGGAAAGAUGAAAAGCACUUUGGAAAGAGAGUUAACAGUACGUGAAAUUGUUGGAAGGGAAACGC